GACGAACGCUGGCGGCGUGCUUAACACAUGCAAGUCGAACGGAAAGGCCCUGCUUUUGUGGGGUGCUCGAGUGGCGAACGGGUGAGUAACACGUGAGUAACCUGCCCUUGACUUUGGGAUAACUUCAGGAAACUGGGGCUAAUACCGGAUAGGAGCUCCUGCUGCAUGGUGGGGGUUGGAAAGUUUCGGUGGUUGGGGAUGGACUCGCGGCUUAUCAGCUUGUUGGUGGGGUAGUGGCUUACCAAGGCUUUGACGGGUAGCCGGCCUGAGAGGGUGACCGGCCACCUUGGGACUGAGAUACGGCCCAGACUCCUACGGGAGGCAGCAGUGGGGAAUAUUGCACAAUGGGCGGAAGCCUGAUGCAGCAACGCCGCGUGCGGGAUGACGGCCUUCGGGUUGUAAACCGCUUUCGCCUGUGACGAAGCGUGAGUGACGGUAAUGGGUAAAGAAGCACCGGCUAACUACGUG
rnacentral:rRNA from 1 species